rnacentral:rRNA from 1 species
ACGUAGGGGGCAAGCGUUAUCCGGAAUUACUGGGUGUAAAGGGUGCGUAGGUGGUAUGGCAAGUCAGAAGUGAAAACCCAGGGCUUAACUCUGGGACUGCUUUUGAAACUGUCAGACUGGAGUGCAGGAGAGGUAAGCGGAAUUCCUAGUGUAGCGGUGAAAUGCGUAGAUAUUAGGAGGAACAUCAGUGGCGAAGGCGGCUUACUGGACUGAAACUGACACUGAGGCACGAAAGCGUGGGGAGCAAACAGGAUUAGAUACCCUUGU